UUGGUGGUGGCGAUGGUGGUCUCCUCUCUGGCAAUGAGAAAAUUACCAUGCAGAACCUCAAUGACCGCCUGGCCUCCUACCUGGACAAGGUACGUGCCCUGGAGGAGGCCAAUGCUGACCUGGAGGUGAAGAUCCAUGACUGGUACCAGAAGCAGACCCCAACCAGCCCAGAAUGCGACUACAGCCAAUACUUCAAGACCAUUGAAGAGCUCCGGGACAAGAUCAUGGCCACCACCAUCGACAACUCCCGGGUCAUCCUGGAGAUCGACAAUGCCAGGCUGGCUGCGGACGACUUCAGGCUCAAGUAUGAGAAUGAGCUGGCCCUGCGCCAGGGCGUUGAGGCUGACAUCAACGGCUUGCGCCGAGUCCUGGAUGAGCUGACCCUGGCCAGGACUGACCUGGAGAUGCAGAUCGAGGGCCUGAAUGAGGAGCUAGCCUACCUGAAGAAGAACCACGAAGAGGAGAUGAAGGAGUUCAGCAGCCAGCUGGCCGGCCAGGUCAAUGUGGAGAUGGACGCAGCACCGGGUGUGGACCUGACCCGUGUGCUGGCAGAGAUGAGGGAGCAGUACGAGGCCAUGGCGGAGAAGAACCGCCGGGAUGUCGAGGCCUGGUUCUUCAGCAAGACUGAGGAGCUGAACAAAGAGGUGGCCUCCAACACAGAAAUGAUCCAGACCAGCAAGACGGAGAUCACAGACCUGAGACGCACGAUGCAGGAGCUGGAGAUCGAGCUGCAGUCCCAGCUCAGCAUGAAAGCUGGGCUGGAGAACUCACUGGCCGAGACAGAGUGCCGCUAUGCCACGCAGCUGCAGCAGAUCCAGGGGCUCAUUGGUGGCCUGGAGGCCCAGCUGAGUGAGCUCCGAUGCGAGAUGGAGGCUCAGAACCAGGAGUACAAGAUGCUGCUUGACAUAAAGACACGGCUGGAGCAGGAGAUCGCUACUUACCGCAGCCUGCUCGAGGGCCAGGAUGCCAAGUAGGCGCCUGGGCACAGGGGAAGGAGAGAAACGUCCCUUGCCACUCCCCACUCUCAUCAGGCCAAGUGGAGGACUGGCCAGAGGGCCUGCACAUGCAAACUCCAGUCCCUGCCUUCAGAGAGCUGAAAAGGGUCCCUCGGUCUUUUAUUUCAGGGCUUUGCAUGCGCUCUAUUCCCCCUCUGCCUCUCCCCACCUUCUUUGGAGCAAGGAGAUGCAGCUGUAUUGUGUAACAAGCUCAUUUGUACAGUGUCUGUUCAUGUAAUAAAGAAUUACUUUUCCUUUUGC
rnacentral:lncRNA from 1 species